rnacentral:rRNA from 1 species
AACGAACGCUGGCGGCAUGCCUAACACAUGCAAGUCGAACGAGACCUUCGGGUCUAGUGGCGCACGGGUGCGUAACGCGUGGGAACCUGCCCUUAGGUUCGGAAUAACUCCCCGAAAGGGGUGCUAAUACCGGAUAAUGUCUUCGGACCAAAGAUUUAUCGCCUUUGGAUGGGCCCGCGUUGGAUUAGCUUGUUGGUAGGGUAAAAGCCUACCAAGGCGACGAUCCAUAGCUGGUUUGAGAGGAUGAUCAGCCACACUGGGACUGAGACACGGCCCAGACUCCUACGGGAUGCAGCAGUGGGGAAUAUUGGACAAUGGGCGAAAGCCUGAUCCAGCAAUGCCGCGUGAGUGAUGAAGGCCUGAGGGUUGUAAAGCUCUUUUACCCGGGAUGAUAAUGACAGUACCGGGAGAAUAAGCUCCGGCUAACUCCGUG